CCUACGUGAGGCUGCAGUGAGGAAUAUUGGUCAAUGGACGCAAGUCUGAACCAGCCAUGCCGCGUGCAGGAUGACGGCUCUAUGAGUUGUAAACUGCUUUUGUACGGGGGUAAACCCCGAUACGUGUAUCGUUUUGAAAGUAUCUUACGAAUAAGGAUCGGCUAACUCCGUGCCAGCAGCCGCGGUAAUACGGAGGAUCCGAGCGUUAUCCGGAUUUAUUGGGUUUAAAGGGUGUGUAGGCGGUUUGAUAAGUUAGCGGUGAAAUGUCGGGGCUCAACCCCGAAACUGCCUGGAAUACUGUUGGACUAGAGAAUAGUGGCGGUAGGCGGAAUGUGUGGUGUAGCGGUGAAAUGCUUAGAGAUCAUGAAGAACACCGAUUGCGAAGGCAGCUUACCAAACUAUAACUGACGUUGAGGCACGAAAGCGUGGGUAGCAAACAGGAUUAGAUACCCUAGUAGUC
rnacentral:rRNA from 1 species